rnacentral:rRNA from 1 species
GAUGAACGCUGGCGGCGUGCCUAAUACAUGCAAGUCGAGCGAACGGACGAGAAGCUUGCUUCUCUGAUGUUAGCGGCGGACGGGUGAGUAACACGUGGAUAACCUACCUAUAAGACUGGGAUAACUUCGGGAAACCGUAGCUAAUACCGGAUAAUAUUUUGAACCGCAUGGUUCAAAAGUGAAAGACGGUCUUGCUGUCACUUAUAGAUGGAUCCGCGCUGCAUUAGCUAGUUGGUAAGGUAACGGCUUACCAAGGCAACGAUGCAUAGCCGACCUGAGAGGGUGAUCGGCCACACUGAAACUGACACACGGUCCAGACCCCGACGGGAGGCAGCGGGGGGAAAUCUUCCCAAAGGGGCGAAAGCCUGACGGAGCAACGCCGGGUGGGUGAUGAAGGUCUUCGGAUGGUAAAACUUUUUUAUUGGGGAAGAACAAUUGUGUAGGUAACGGUGCCCUUUUUGACGUUACCAAAAAAGAAAGCCCCGCCUAACUACGU